rnacentral:rRNA from 1 species
AUUAGAGGGACUGUAUGCGUUUCAGUAUACGGAAGUUUGAGGCUAAAACAGGUCUGUGAUGCCCUUAGAUGUUCUGGGCUGCACGCGCGCUACACUGAUGCGUUCAACGAGUGUACAACCUUACCCGAUAGGGUUGGGUAACCUUUUGAACACGCAUCGUGAUGGGGAUUGAGUAUUGCAAUUAUUACUCAUCAACGAGGAAUUCCUAGUAAUGAUGGAUCAUCAGUUCAUCGUGAUUACGUCCCUGCCCUUUGUACACACCGCCCGUCGCUCCUACCGAUUGAGCAAUCCGGUGAAUAUUUUGGACCAGUUUUCGUCGGGGCAACUCGUUCGAAAUUGGGAAAAUCAAGUUAACCUUAUUGCUUAGAGGAAGGAGAAGUCGUAACAAGGUUUCCGUAG